UUGGUAGAGAGAUAUACCACCAAUCACUGAUAAACCUCUUGAAAGCAUAAAAAGAUCGAAAUAAGAGAAUAGUCGACUGAACUCCAACCAAUGAGCAAAGAACUAUGAAAUCAAUGAUGAAGUGAAAGGAGUUAGGGAUGACUGAACACAAAAAAAUAUUGUAGAAGCAAAAAAGUUUGACUACCAAGAGGUGGAGCGGUAACCUAACUCCUACCU
rnacentral:lncRNA from 1 species